rnacentral:rRNA from 1 species
UGGGGAAUUUUGGACAAUGGGCGAAAGCCUGAUCCAGCAAUGCCGCGUGUGUGAAGAAGGCCUUCGGGUUGUAAAGCACUUUUGUCCGGAAAGAAAUCCUUGGCUCUAAUACAGCCGGGGGAUGACGGUACCGGAAGAAUAAGCACCGGCUAACUACGUGCCAGCAGCCGCGGUAAUACGUAGGGUGCAAGCGUUAAUCGGAAUUACUGGGCGUAAAGCGUGCGCAGGCGGUUUGCUAAGACCGAUGUGAAAUCCCCGGGCUCAACCUGGGAACUGCAUUGGUGACUGGCAGGCUAGAGUAUGGCAGAGGGGGGUAGAAUUCCACGUGUAGCAGUGAAAUGCGUAGAGAUGUGGAGGAAUACCGAUGGCGAAGGCAGCCCCCUGGGCCAAUACUGACGCUCAUGCACGAAAGCGUGGGGAGCAAACAGGAUUAGAUACCCUGGUAGUCCACGCCCUAAACGAUGUCAACUAGUUGUUGGGGAUUCAUUUCCUUAGUAACGUAGCUAACGCGUGAAGUUGACCGCCUGGGGGAGUACGGUCGCAAGAUUAAAACUC